rnacentral:rRNA from 1 species
GAUGAACGCUGGCGGCGUGCCUAAUACAUGCAAGUCGAGCGAACGGACGAGAAGCUUGCUUCUCUGAUGUUAGCGGCGGACGGGUGAGUAACACGUGGAUAACCUACCUAUAAGACUGGGAUAACUUCGGAAAACCGGCGCUAAUACCGGAUAAUCUUUUGCACCGCAUGGUUCAAAAGUGAAAGGCGGUCUUGCUGUCACUUAUCGAUGGAUCCGCGCUGCAUUAGCUAGUUGGUAAGGUAACGGCUUACCAAGGCAACGAUGCAUAGCCGACCUGAGAGGGUGAUCAGCCACACUGGAACGGAGACACGGUCCAGAGUCCUACGGGAGGGAGCAGUAGGGAAACUUGCGCAAUGGGCGAAAGCCUGACGAAGCAACGCCGCGGGAGGGAUGAAGGUCUUCGGAUCGUAAAACUCUGUUAUUAGGGAAGAACAUAUGUGUAAGUAACUGUGCACAUCAGGACGGUACCUAAUCAGAAAGCCACGGCUAACUACGUG